CACUUCCACCUAAGGUUUCCACCACAAACAAAGCCCACCAGCAGUCCUUAUUGGGUCAACAACAAAACUUUUACAAAAUCCACACUACCUCCUAAUUUGAUUCAAUCUGUGUCUAUUCAUCCUUGUUCCCAUAAGGAAUAGAAUAGUAGGGUUUUUGGAGUGAAUCAACUCUUUUAAGUACAGAACUAUCCUGGGGUUCCCCAAACCUUGACAGUUCCAGACUAGUUGUAUCAUUG
rnacentral:lncRNA from 1 species